CCACGUGUGAUUUUAAGUGCUGUGUUUCCUAAAGAUGUAAAAUAAAUCAACUUUAAUUUGAUGGAUAUUCCUAUAAUGAUAUUGGUAUAUAGUACAUGAGAAAAAGCUGAGAAAGCUGGUGCUUAAGGCUGAUAUAAGAAUAGCAUACCAUUCACACAUUAUUUUGUAUCAAAAGUUUCAGGAUUUUGUGAAAAAGACAAACGUGUAGUUUAUUAAGCUCUUGAUGGGACUCGGUAUGUUAAUUCCUUCCGAAGUCAUCAGCUUCCUGACAGCAGCACAGCUGUAACACCUAAAGCAGCAUGCCCCCUUUUCGGAUCUCACUCAGGGUCACUGAGUGAUGGCCCAGAAAGCAGCCCCAGGCAUUUAGGAAGCCUUAGAUUAACCAGGGGGUUGCAAUCUUCCUUCUGAGCCAACUCCACCCCGCUGCUGAGCGUAAUGGCACGGGUCGGUCAACCCCUGCAAGUACUGCGCUCGGAAGCAGGACUGGGUGGUCAUUAGGGGUGCCCCAGCGAUUUUUUAUAGGAUUAGGAGCACCACCUAGGCCGGGUUCCCGGAGCAGGCACACGACCCUCAGCACGCUGCCCCUCGCCCCUUCCCCACCCCGGAGGCCGAGCCCCGUCCUGCGGGAAGCCGGGGGGGCACCUGCGAGAUCUCUCCUUCAUCAGCCCUUCCAGGUUAACAAACAAGCGAAAACAGCGAAAGCAAGCACAACAAAGAUGAACCGGGUUCGCCGCUUCCAACAAGAAGCUCUGAAACCUCUCAGCCCUGCAAAUCCACGUUACAGGAAUGCACGCUGCGUGGGGCGCCAGGCAGGUCAAAGAGAGACGGGUUGUACCUCCCAGUGCUGCUCAGGAGGUGAACAAACUUUGGAAAUCAGCUGGGCUAAUUUUGGUUGCCAGAGAAAGACACGAAGCAGGAGAGCAAGAGUCGUGAUGAGAAGAUGACUUGAGCAUGCAGAGGCUCAGCUUGGCAGCUUCAGCUCCAAUUUGCACAGAAGAAAUCCCAGCACUAGCUAUUUGCAGACACUGUGCAGCCUGCUGCUCUUGGCAGAUUGAACACACACAAGGUAUCACCGCUGGAGAAGAUGGGCAGGGGUAUGAAAGCAGUGAGUCUGCAUGCUUAGGCAUCGAUUUGUUCUGUAAGAGAGAGCUUAGAAGACAGGGAGACCUUUGCUGGAAAGGCAGCUUGAUGAAUGAGCCUGGCAUGGGGCAGUUACGUGGCCUCUGUUGGGGUUGUGCAGGUCACACCUUCCACCACGUGUGUAGUCAGGCUCAUGGCGUAUGCCAGAGACUUCUUGCAUCUCCCUAUCCCAGUUCCUCAAACAGCUCUUGUGUUUUAUGUCUGUGUUUUGAGGGCUGACACUCCAAAAUAUCCCACUCCCAGAAUCAGAGACUUUUGCAACCCUUAUUUUUCUCUCUGCCAUGAGCAAGAAUGUCUCCAUGGUCCCUGCUCCAUAUAAAAAGGCAUUUUAUUCUCUAGAUUUUCAUUUGACUUUGUUGAUCAACUAUUUCAUUUAUUUAAUAAGGUAUCCAAAAUUCUCUGUAUUUCCACAUUGCAGAUUCUCUCUGUCUCUUCACUACUUGUCUUUUCUUGAGCUACUGCCCUCCACUCCCACUUGUGUUACUUCUUUUUCUGGGAGAGACAUUGCUCAGUCUGUCAACUUUUUGGAAGAUAGGCAGAGCAAAGCUGGCAGGUACAAUGUUAGAAAAACCUGGAAAAAAAGCUCUUAUUAAGUUAUGCUUUGAUCUGCAGCAAUUAUUAAGCUGCUUGAAGAUUGCCAAUGAGAUAUUAGAGGCUUUCUGAGUCUUCUCUUCCCUUUCCUGGCUUCUCUCAGUAUCUGUAAGGAUAGUUCUCCGUCUGGAAGAAACUCCCAGUGAGGUAGUCUGCUUUCUAGUUAUCACAUGCCAUGACAUAAUGUAAAUCAUUCCAGAAAGUAAGUUCCAUCUUAAAAGCGGAUGAAUAGGGAAUUAUUAAAAACAGUAGGGAACUAGUUUUGUGCCGGCUGUUACAGGACUCUUCCAGACCUUCCUCUUUCUGAUAGUUGGACACUUUCAAUGGAUGUCUAGCCUAAAAGUACUCAUGACCAUUUAAUACUUAUUUUCCAGUACCAAUGUUGUCUUUCAUCCUGAACAGUUGUUUUUUCUUCUCCAAGGCUUUCCUAGCUAGCUUAUGUAGUGACAGCAAUCAUUUUCUCUCUCAGCCUUUCUCCUUGUCUCACUAAACAAGCAAGAUGUCACUGUGCAUGGGCUGAGCUGGUUCCUGUGAACGCGUGACAGAACUGAACACGAUACACCACGUGAACUCUCACCACAACACUUCUAUUUACUGGAAGUACUUUGCCUGAUGUGGUCUAGGAUUUCAUUAUCAUUUUAAUUGGCUGCAUUACCACUGCUGGCAGAUGGUCAUCCUUGUAUCCUUAAUAUAUGCAGCUGCACCUGUUUUCCAGCGGACGAAUCCUAGCUAACAUAUGAUCUUUCAUUUUAUACCAUGGCAUUUCAUCUCUUAGUUCUUUUUUUCUUUCUUAAGAUCAUUCAGUCCUUUCCAAAUGAGAUCCUCCUUUUCCAUUCCAUUUGCAAGGUCUAUUGACUCUCUCAUGUUUUAUUAGAAAACUUCCACUUUUGACUGCCAAUUUCACAAGUGAAAAAGUUGAAUGUUAACACGAUUUUUAAACUGAUCUUUUAGAUAUCACUAAUAACUCUUCUUUACCUUCCCCCUCUGAACACUCUUGCAUCCCAUUUUCCUAUUGUCAUUAGCUAGGUCCAUACUUAGCUCACAGUCCUCCUCCUAGUUCCUAUUUAAACUAGUAAUUUCCCCUGUGGGAAUGCUUUUCUGAACUGCAGACAGAUUAGGUCUACUAGGUUUCCUUUGCCAAAAAAAAAAAAAAAAGCAGGUUAGAUGAGCACAGCCUAAUGUUGAGAAACCAGUCUUGCAUUUAUCACUAGCCCAUGUUUUGCAACAUUUUUAAUUAAUCAUUGCUUAUUUAUUUAUUUAUUUAUUUAUUUAUGUUGUCCUCUAAGAUCUUUAGUACUACUUGGGUCAGAAUAAAAGCUAAGAUUGCAUUUGUUGAAAUUAAGUGCAUCCUAGGUAAGGAUUGCUUUUCCUUGGGCACCAUUCCUGACUCUUUAGGAUUGUUAAGAAAAUUUGGUAUGAAAACUGUAGCAUUAUUUGGAUGGAGAUGGUCUGCUCCCUUUGACGUGAACAUGUUUUAGAGUUCAUGUCUCCUUUGCUGCCAUUCCUGCUUAUUAUCCUGCUGUUGGCUAUGUUGGCUAUAAUAUAAUAUUUAUAAACAGCAAAGUUUUUAGCAAGAUAUCUAGUUCUCAAAGAACUAGAUAACGGUUUUGAUACUUUCUAUCACAAACAAGAAAAUAUUUAGACCUUGGUAAAAAAGGUUGAAAUAAAUACAUUAAAAUGGUUGUCAUUGCAAAAAAAAGUCUAUGGCUUUUGUCAGCAGAGGAACUCAGUGGUUUAUUUAUUGACACGCAAGGUCCAAAAUGCUCAUAAGUGAGCUAAUAAAGCUGUUGUGCUACUGAGUAUCCGUAUUAAUCUGUAGUGAAAUCAAAGCAGAUUUUUUAAGUCACUUCAAAAGUUUAUUCCUGACAGUUCUGUGAUUGGAAAUGUUGUAAUGUAUACAUACGAGUAGCUAACAGGGUUUAUAAGCCAUGCUGCACUGCAAUUAAUCAAGAACAGUUCACAAUGCAUAUGCAAACUGAAGUCCAUCAAUGGAAGCACCAGGCUUAAUUAUAUAAUUAGAAGAGAUGCUCUUUCCUGGGACCAGUGCUCACUGAAAUUAAGUGGUUUGCACUGAUUCCUGAAAUGCUGGCUCUGCUGGUAAUUAGUAUCUUAAAAAACAUGCAACUUAAGGUUGUGUUAGUUACAAUGGGAUUUUCAAAUUUCUACAACAGCUCAAAAGUAAAACUGUAUUCAUCCUUUCCCUUCUCUACUACUUCUCCUAAAUAAAGACAAGGCAGGUUUGGGUUUUGUUUUGUUUUGUGGGUUUUUUUUAGGCUUACAUGGCUUUUAAAAUUAUAACCUCUGUCAUGUAGAGCAGGUACAUUAGCCAGUAGUUGUCAAAAUAAAAGACAAGGAUAUAGGGUUCAAGUCUAUAUUUAAUCUGUUAUCUUGAAGGUGUAGUUAAAUAACAUGCUAAAUUUCAUCAUUCAAAAAAAAAAAUCAUUUUGCUAUGGUGUGUACUUAACUUCUUUGCUGUUUUGAGCAUCUGGUGGGUUUUUUUGAGCAUCCACAGGUAGCUUUCUCCUUGAUGCUUGUGUGAUUCUUAUUUGUACAUUAUGUAGUCUCUAAAAAGAAAGGAUGAAAGAUGUUUUUUGAAAAUCCAUACUGUUUCCUUACGUGGGUCCUUUCCAUUCAGCUGAUGCUUCCCAUAAUUCCAGGAAUGUGCUGCUGGUUAACAACAAAUUCAGUACAGAUUCAAACACAGAUGCAUUGACAAAAUGUUCAUUUCACACUUUUGGUCAAAAAGACUCAUCUGAGAGUUAGCAAUGGGUCAGUGAUGCAUGGUUCUGUUCUAUCAACUUCAUUUUAUAUAUAUUUAAAACCAGGGAGAGUGACAUGGAUCAACGUGUGUGAAGGAGUAUGAAUUUGUAGAGAACAUGAAUUUACUUCUCUCCCACACUUCUGUGUUUACUUUGCUGUGUUUUAGGUCCAGAUGCUUGAGGAUUAGGAUCUUGUCUGGCUCUGUACGUAGUUCUAAGAAUCAUUUCAUAUUCUUAAGUCAUCUGAGAAAGGCAAGUAACCCACUGGCCAGACGUUAUACACUUUGGUUUUUCUUUCCUAUCUCUCCCCACCAUAGCAGUCUGAAGCUUUUGUCUUUCUAGGUGCCACAGAUGGCAAAUGCAAGCAACUGAAGUCUCCUGCAGUGGCUCAGAGGACUGGGCAAAAGGCAAAAGUUUUGUUUCUUGAAGCUCAGAUAUCGUAGUCACCAAAGUUUUUCCUACUGAAAUUCUCCUGGAAAAUCCAUUUGUUUCCCUCAAAUGUUAUGGAAGAAAGUGAGAGCUCUUGCAGCUGGCACUUGAAAAGCAAAUAUUUGUCAUAUGUAGGCUAAGUCCUUUCCUCAUUAUCCUCAGGAAAAUUGUAUUCAACUGCAGAAAGCACUCACCUGCUUUAACUGGCUGAAACAUUGCCCCAGGACUGCCACUCUGCCAACUAUAUUCACACACUUUACUUUUGCUGUAACUUUCAACAAAUGCACAGUAAAAUUGCAUUUGCAACAUUUCCCUAGGUAACUCAAGCCAUGAUAUGCUUAAAUUCAGCCAUUAAAAAAAAAAAAGUCUUUUUCAGAGACAAAUUGAGUAUUUGCUUACUCAGCUCUUAGACAAAAUUGAGAUCACCAUACACAA